rnacentral:rRNA from 1 species
GAUGAACGCUGACAGAAUGCUUAACACAUGCAAGUCAACUUGAACUUCGGUUUGGGUGGCGGACGGGUGAGUAACGCGUAAAGAACUUGCCUCACAGAUAGGGACAACAUUUGGAAACGAAUGCUAAUACCAGAUAUUAUGAUUAUAUGGCAUCGUAUAAUUAUGAAAGCUAUAUGCGCUGUGAGAGAGCUUUGCGUCCCAUUAGCUAGUUGGAGAGGUAACGGCUCACCAAGGCGAUGAUGGGUAGCCGGCCUGAGAGGGUGAUCGGCCACAAGGGGACUGAGACACGGCCCUUACUCCUACGGGAGGCAGCAGUGGGGAAUAUUGGACAAUGGACCAAGAGUCUGAUCCAGCAAUUCUGUGUGCACGAUGAAGUUUUUCGGAAUGUAAAGUGCUUUCAGUUGGGAAGAAAAAAAUGACGGUACCAACAGAAGAAGUGACGGCUAAAUACGUG